GACGAACCGUGCGAACGUUAUUCGGAAUCACUGGGCUUAAAGGGCGCGUAGGCGGGCUCGUAAGUCAGGGGUGAAAUCCCUCGGCUCAACCGAGGAACUGCGCCGAAUACUGCUGUGCUAGAGGAAGAUAGGGGUAAGCGGAACUGAUGGUGGAGCGGUGAAAUGCGUUGAUAUCAUCAGGAACACCGGUGGCGAAGGCGGCUUACUGGAUCUUUUCUGACGCUGAUGCACGAAAGCUAGGGGAGCGAACGGG
rnacentral:rRNA from 1 species